rnacentral:rRNA from 1 species
AGAGUUUGAUCCCGGCUCAGGAUGAACGCUAGCGGCGUGGAUAAGGCAUGCAAGUCGAACGCCCCAAUUUAUUGGGGAGUGGCGAACGGGUUAGUAACACGUAGAUAUGCACCUUGAAGUCUCGGAUAGCCUAUCGAAAGAUAGGGUAAUACGAGAUAGUCCCGUAAGGGUAAAGAUUUAUUGCUUCAAGAUCGGUCUGCGAUCUAUCAGCUUGUUGGUAAGGUAAAGGCUUACCAAGGCUAUGACGGAUAGGGGACAUGAGAGUGUGAUCCCCAACAAGGGCACUGCGACACGGGCCCUACUCCUACGGGAGGCAGCAGUCGAGAAUAUUCCACAAUGGGCGAAAGCCUGAUGGAGCGACGCCGCGUGCUUGAAGAAGCUCUUCGGAGUGUAAAAAGCUUUUCUGUCUGAGAAAACUUCGGUUGAUGUUAGGACAGGAAUAAGGGGCUGCUAAUCAUGUGCCAGAAGCAUCGGUAAUACAUGAGCCUCAAGCGUUAUCCGGAUUUAUUGGGCGUAAAGCGUCCGUAGGCGACUUAUCAGGUCUUCUGUUAAAGAUCAAGGCUCAACCUUGAGAAUGCAGUAGAAACCGGUAGGAUAGAGGGCAUUAGGGGCUAAUGGAACGGUCGGUGUAGGGGUGAAAUCCGUUGAUAUCGACCGGAAUACCAAAAGCGAAGGCAUUUAGCUGGAAUGACCCUGACGCUGAGGGACGAAAGCGUGGGUAGCGAACGAGAUUAGAUACCUCGGUAGUCCACGCCGUAAACGAUGGAUACUAGCUAUUUGAAGUGUCGACCCUUCAAGUGGCGAAGCUAACGCGUUAAGUAUCCCGCCUGGGAAGUACGAUCGCAAGAUUAAAACUCAAAGGAAUAGACGGGGCUUUACACAAGCAGUGGACCAUGUGGCUUAAUUCGACGAUAAGCGAAGAACCUCACCAGGGCUUGACACUUAACUGAAAGCUUUCCGAAAGGAUUGCCCCUUUUUAGUAGUUAAGCAGGUGUUGCAUGGUUGUCGUCAGCAUGUGCUUUGAAGUGCUCCCUUAAAUGGGGCAACAUGCGCAACCCUCGCUCUAUGUUUUAUAUGUCAUAGAGAACUGCCCGGGAUAACCGGGAGGAAGGUGAGGACGACGCCAAAUCAGCAUGACCCUUUGACGCCCUGGGCUGCACACGUGGUACAAUGGGACUGACAAUGGGCAAAGUCGCAAGACGGAGGUAAUCCCAUCAAACGGUCUCUUAGUCCGGAUUGGGGUCUGAAACUCGACCCCAUGAAGUCGGAAUUGCUAGUAAUCGCUAAUCAGCCAUGUAGCGAUGAAUAUGUUUCUAAAGCUUGUACUCACCGCCCAUCACGUUAGGGAAGCCGGCGGUAGCCGAUAUCCCCACUAGUUGGGGCCUAAGCUGAAGUCGGUAACUAGAACGAAGUUGUAACAAGGC